GCCUGGGUGGCUCAGUCGGUUGAGCGUCCGACUUCAGCUCAGGUCACGAUCUCACGGUCCGCGAGUUCGAGCCCCGCGUCAGGCU
rfam:Felis catus isolate Cinnamon breed Abyssinian chromosome A2, whole genome shotgun sequence.